GCCAGGUGUGGUGGCGCACACCUGUAGUCCCAGCUACUCGGGAGGCUGAGGCAGGAGAAUCACUUGAACCCAGGAGGCAGAGGUUGCAGUGAGCCGAGAUAGCACCACUGCACUCCAGCCUGGGUGACAGAGUGAGACCCUGUCUCAA
ensembl:misc_RNA Metazoa_SRP Metazoan signal recognition particle RNA